UACGGAGGGUGCAAGCGUUAUCCGGAUUCACUGGGUUUAAAGGGUGCGUAGGCGGGCAGGUAAGUCAGUGGUGAAAUCUCCCGGGCUUAACCCGGAACUGCCGUUGAUACUAUCUGUCUUGAAUAUUGUGGAGGUAAGCGGAAUAUGUCAUGUAGCGGUGAAAUGCUUAGAUAUGACAUAGAACACCAAUUGCGAAGGCAGCUUACUACACAGUUAUUGACGCUGAGGCACGAAAGCGUGGGAGCAAAAGGG
rnacentral:rRNA from 1 species